CACGUAGGGCGCAAGCGUUGUCCGGAAUUAUUGGGCGUAAAGAGCUCGUAGGCGGUCUGCUACGUCCGCUGUGAAAACCUAGGGCUUAACCCUGGGCUUGCAGUAGAUACGGGCAGACUAGAGGUAGGUAGGGGAGAAUGGAAUUCCCGGUGUAGCGGUGAAAUGCGCAGAUAUCGGGAGGAACACCGGUGGCGAAGGCGGUUCUCUGGGCAUGUUCUGACGCUGAGGAGCGAAAGUGUGGGGAGCGAACAGG
rnacentral:rRNA from 1 species